CCUACGGGAGACUGCAGUGGGGAAUAUUGGGCAAUGGGCGGAACCCUGACCCAGCAACGCCGCGUGAGUGAAGAAGGCUUUCGGUUUGUAAACUUCUUUUAUCAGGGAAGAAGCAAGUGACGGUACCUGACGAAUCAGCCACUACUAACUUCGUGGCAGCAGCCGCGGUACUACGUGGGUUGCAAGCGUUCUCCGGAUUUCGUGGGUGGAAAGGCAGUGUAGGCGGGACUGCAAGUCAGAUGUGAAACCUAGGGGCCCAACCCAUAGCCUGCAUUUGAAACUGUAGUUCUGGAGUACUGGAGAGGCAAUCGGAAUUCCGUGUGUAGCGGUGAAAUGCGUAGAUAUAAGGAGGAACACCAGUGGCGAAGGCGGAUUGCUGGACAGUAACUGACGCUGAGGCGCGAAAGCGUGGGGAGCAAACAGGAUUAGAUACCCGAGUAGUC
rnacentral:rRNA from 1 species